rnacentral:rRNA from 1 species
UGGGGAAUAUUGCACAAUGGGCGCAAGCCUGAUGCAGCAACGCCGCGUGAGGGACGACGGCCUUCGGGUUGUAAACCUCUUUUAGUAGGGAAGAAGCGAAAGUGACGGUACCUGCAGAAAAAGCACCGGCUAACUACGUGCCAGCAGCCGCGGUAAUACGUAGGGUGCAAGCGUUGUCCGGAAUUAUUGGGCGUAAAGAGCUCGUAGGCGGUUUGUCGCGUCUGCUGUGAAAACCCGAGGCUCAACCUCGGGCCUGCAGUGGGUACGGGCAGACUAGAGUGCGGUAGGGGAGAAUGGAAUUCCUGGUGUAGCGGUGGAAUGCGCAGAUAUCAGGAGGAACACCGAUGGCGAAGGCAGUUCUCUGGGCCGUAACUGACGCUGAGGAGCGAAAGCGUGGGGAGCGAACAGGAUUAGAUACCCUGGUAGUCCACGCCGUAAACGUUGGGCGCUAGGUGGGGACCAUUCCACGGUUUCCGUGUCGCAGCUAACGCAUUAAGCGCCCGCCUGGGGAGUACGGCCGCAAGGCUAAAACGUCAAAGGAAUUGACGGGGUCAUAGCU